GAUCAUUUAUGGAGCCAAAAACUUUUCUGAAAAAAACCCUAGACUAAAACCUAAACCUACCCUACCCAGUAGACCAUGUGGCCCAUUCCUAAAUCUCGCCCGCGCGCGCAGCGCAGCAGGCCGAAGCCCAGCAGCAGCGCCGCCCCCAGUUUUUUCUUCUUUUCUAUUUAUCUCUUCUCUUUCACUGACAUCGCUGGCCCGCCUUCGUCCUCAACCUUCAGCCGGACUCCCAUCCAUGCACGAAGCCGCAGCGAGCCCGAUCCAAAUCCCGCGAGAUUCACCCGAUCCCGAAUUCCCUGCUCCAAUCUGCGGGCACCAAGAGACCCAUCUCAAUCCCCUCGCCGGAUUCCCGCAUCCACCCCUCAUUUUCCCCGUUGGAACCGAGAGCACGGACCCCGCCGAUCUCCGCCGCCGGAAGCUCCUCCUCCGACGAACUGCACCGCGACCACACACUGCUGGUUCGAGCGCCCCACAUAAACCCGAAGAUCCCCGCCGACGCUGGAGCUCCAACGCCACUGCAGCGCCAGCAAAUGACGCUCCCAUCUCCGUUGAAGCCACCAUCGCCUCAGCCAUCGCAAGCUGCAUCCUCCCGUCACCUCAUCUUCGCGGAGAGCCACCAAAGGCCUACGCCCGAAGCUACCACCGUUUCCCCCCUGCUUCCGGUGAGCACACGCGCGCAAAUCCACUUCGGCCAACCCUAGCGCGACACGUGGCCACAUCUACAGUAUCCGCGGCAGCAGCUCAAUUCGCCGCCAUGGCAGCAAUUUCAGCAUGUCAAAAACGCUGCCACGGCAGAGUUUUUCUCAUAUCUCAAACCGAACUUCAUUCUGCUAUAUCUUCAAAUCUGUAUAUCCAAACCCAAUGAAACUUUUCCUAUAUGUUCAUAUUGAUCUUACCUAUCCAAUAGAAUCAAUAGUUUCAACUUCUAAACUCUUCAAAUUGAUCAAUUCAAAUUUGUUUUCAAAUCAUGUGUUGAUCAUAUCUUGAAAAUUGUUUACCAUAUCCAAUUGAUUCCUUUUGCCUA